CCCUUAGAUGUUCUGGGCCGCACGCGCGCUACACUGACGAAGUCAGCGAGCAUGUCCUACGCCGACAGGUGCGGGGAAUCUUGUCAAACUUCGUCGUGAUGGGGAUUGAUUUUUGAAAUUCUUGAUCAUAAACGAGGAAUUCCUAGUAAGCGCAAGUCAGCAGCUUGCGUUGAUUACGUCCCUGCCCUUUGUACACACCGCCCGUCGCUACUACCGAUUGAAUGGUUUAGUGAGAUCUUCGGAUUGGCGCCACUGCAGCUCAGCAAUGGGCUUGGUGGAUGCCGAAAAGUUGAUCAAACUUGAUCAUUUAGAGGAAGUAAAAGGCGUAACA
rnacentral:rRNA from 1 species